rnacentral:rRNA from 1 species
AACGAACGCUGGCGGCGUGCCUAACACAUGCAAGUCGAGCGCGAAAAGGGCAACCUGAGUAGAGCGGCGCACGGGUGCGUAACACGUGGGUAAUCUGCCUUAGAGUCGAGGAUAACCUUCCGAAAGGUUGGCUAAUACUCGGUAAGCUUACGGUGUCUUCGGACGCUGUGGGAAAAGUAGGCCUCUGUUUACAAGCUUACGCUCUGUGAUGAGCCCGCGGCCCAUCAGCUAGUUGGCGGUGUAACGGACCACCAAGGCAACGACGGGUAGCUGGUCGGAGAGGACGAUCAGCCACACGGGAACUGAAACACGGGCCAGACUCCUACGGGAGGCAGCAGUGGGGAAUUUUCCACAAUGGGCGAAAGCCUGAUGGAGCAACGCCGCGUGUGUGAUGAAGGUUUUCGGAUCGUAAAGCACUUUCGACUGGGACGAAAAACCUUUGGCUAACAUCCAAGGGUCUGACGGUACCAGGAGAAGAAGCACCGGCUAACUCUGUGCCAGCCGCCGCCGUAAGAC